rnacentral:miRNA from 15 species
CUGGCCCUCUCUGCCCUUCCGU